rnacentral:lncRNA from 1 species
ACGUAGGUAUCCAGUGCUGGAAGCUGUUCAGAAGUAUCUCUGGCCCAGAUUGUGUAAACUUGACCAAAGAACCUUGUAAAAUCAUAACUCCCAAAAUCUGCAUUAGAAAUAACAGCUUUAAUGAUAGAUAAAUCUCUAACAGAUAUAUAAAUGGAAUGCAGGUAUGAACUGCACUACCAGAUGAUUACAUUUGGGAAGGUAUGCAUAAUUUCUUUUCACAUUUAGUACAACAUUCAGAAAAAGGCAUAACAAUUUUUCUAGAACUGGUUUUUGCUUCACAGGCAUGAGAUACAAGAUUAAAAGUAAUUCAUGCUCUAAAUAUGCAGGUUUUCUGCACAAAGAAAAAACCAAAAUGCAAUGCAUGUCCAAUGCGAGCAGAGUGCAGGCACUUUGCAAGUGCUUUUGCAAGGUUAGUUACAUUAUGCCAAUUGCAUUAUACAAAUUAAUCAACAUAAUGCAAAAUGCAUUCAAAGCUAUAUAUCAAACCAUUUAGAUUUAUGAGACACAAGAAUCAAGAGUACAGAGAAAAAAAUUGAGGCUAAUAAGAAACCUAUCAUAGAAAGCAACCAGAUAAAUCAAGCAAAAAUAGUGUUUCUUUCCACUGCAUAGUUCUAGCAUAGUGCCAUGAGGGACUUAUUUUAUUUUAUAAGGCAACUAACCCUUUUAGUACAGUGCACGGCUUGCCUUGCCUGGACCAGAAGAGAAGCACAUCGUUAGUAUGCAUGUUCCCAUUGCAGCUGAGAGAAACUAUUUUGUCAAUGAGAACCCCAUGGUCCUACCUCUCCUUGAGAACAACUUGAGCAGACAAGUAAGUCCUCAAAGUUGGCAGUGUGAACCAAUCAUUGAAGAACCAGCAACACCAGAAAGAGAGUGGACAGAGGCAGAAGAAAGUGACAUGGAGGACUUU